UCCAGCCCUAAAGCCUAUAGCCCUGUCCCAUUAUCUGUACUUGUAACUAAUCUUACGACCUGGUGAUGGUUCUUGCCGAGGCCAAGGUAUCUACAAAUGUGAUGGUUCUUGCUGACGCCAGGAGCUGGAGCACCAGGCGCUCAUAUACAAGUACCUCGUCUGUCCUGCCAGACCUCCUCCCUAUCUGUCAUUGCUUCGUCCAGCAGAUCUCACUAUUUUUCGCAGUUGAUUUUGUGUGCUGCAGUCAUGGAGCUUAAACAGAGGCUUGCGAGCAACCAAAGCCCAUGGCCAAACCACUCCUGCACUGCUGGUAUAGUGUUCGAUGAAAUGUCCCUUGCAUGGGGCUCUCGGUCAGCAAAAAGCAGCAAUCUAACAGGCCAUGAGGGGCUCAAGAAAUAUUUUGCUCUAGGUCAGCUUCAAAAUCAACAAAGUUAAGCGAUAUGGUGGUCUGUUAGCUUUAGGGGAACUUCAUCUUUUGCAGGAACCAAACUUUGCCGCUGCAGCUUCAUAUUUUGUUGGUUUGUUAGCUUUUGGUCGAACUUCAACCAAAUUUUGGUGCUGCUGGUUCAGAUUCUUGCUGAAACCUAUUUUUUGUUGUUUCUUGUCAAUUAUGUGGUCUUGGAAUGUUACUGCUAGUUCUGAUAGAUGGAAAAACUCUAUGUAAUGCAAAUCUUAUUCUGUUAUUCAUGUGAGUUUGGGCUGGAAUUGCUUAUUGUGAA